rfam:Brachypodium distachyon strain Bd21 chromosome 4, whole genome shotgun sequence.
UUACUACUCCCUCCGAACCAAAUUAAUUGUCGCAAUUUUGUCUAGAUAUGCAUGUACUAGACAUAUUAUAAUGUGUAGGUACAUAUGUAUCUACACAAAGAUGCGACAACUAAUUUGGAUCGGAGGGAUUAGUAA